GCGCAGGAAAAGAAACCAACAGGGAUUGCCUUAGUAACUGCGAGUGAAGCGGCAAAAGCUCAAAUUUGAAAUCUGGCGUCUUCGGCGUCCGAGUUGUAAUUUGGAGAGAUUUCUUCGGGGUGAACACCGGUCCAAGUUCCUUGGAACAGGACGUCACAGAGGGUGAGAAUCCCGUGUCUGACCGGUUGCUUCAUUCCAUGUGAAGAGUCUUCGACGAGUCGAGUUGUUUGGGAAUGCAGCUCAAAAUGGGUGGUAAAUUUCAUCUAAAGCUAAAUAUUGGCGAGAGACCGAUAGCGCACAAGUAGAGUGAUCGAAAGAUGAAAAGCACUUUGAAAAGAGAGUUAAAAAGUACGUGAAAUUGUUGAAAGGGAAGCGCUUGAGACCAGACUCAAUUUGUGGUGAACAUCAGUCCUUCUGGGCUGUGCACUUGCCACUUUUUGGGCCAGCAUCGGUUCUGACCGUGUGAUAAAGGUCCUGGGAAUGUAGCUCCUCUCGGGGAGUGUUAUAGCCCAGGGCGUAAUGACAUGAGUUGGGACCGACGACCGCGCUUCGGCUAGGAUGCUGGCAUAAUGGUCUUCAGCGACCCGUCUUGAUACACACACCAAGGAGUCUAACCUCUAUGCGAGUGUUCGGGUGGAAAACCCUUGCUCUUAAUGUAAAUGAUUUGACGUGGCAAUCCCACUCCUAGGGCAUCCCCUGAUGGUGAUGUUCUCGGAUGUAAUGAAAAGAGGAUCCUGGGGCACGAGCUUGAAUCUGGCCAUGUCUAAAUGUCCCAGUGGAAAUGAAACCCCCAGACGA
rnacentral:rRNA from 1 species